rnacentral:lncRNA from 1 species
CAUGGCAUAUGGAGGUUCCCAGGCUAUGGGUCAAAUCGGUACUGUAGCCGCCGACCUAUGCCAGAGCCACAGAAACACCAGAUCUAAGCCACGUCUGCGACCUAUACCACAGCUCUCAGCAAUGUCAGAUCCUUAACCCACUGAGUGAGGGUGGGAUCGAACCCAAAACCUCAUGGUUCCUAGUCAGAUUCAUUAACCACUGAGCCACGACGGGAACUCCUGUUGUAGAUUAAUUGAUCAUAGUGUGUAGGUUUAUUUCUGGGCUUUUUUUUUUCCAUUGAUCUAUGUGUCUGUUUUCAUGCCAGUACCAUACUGUUUUAAUUACUGUAGCUUUGUAUUACUGUAGAGAAAAUGAUGUCCCCCAACUUUUUUCUCAAGAUUUCUUUAGAAAUUUGGGGUCUUUGUGGUUCCAUAUAAAUUUUAGGAUUAUUUGUUCCAGGUCUGUGGAAAAUAUCAUGGAUAUUUUCAUAGGGAUUGGAUUAAAUCUGUAGAUUGCUUUGGGUAGUGUCAACAUUUUAACAAUAUUAAUUCUUCUAAUCCAUGAACAUAGGAUAUCUUUCCAUUUUUUAUAUCAUCUUCAAUUUCCUUCACCAGUGGCUUAUAGUUGUCAGAACAUGGGUCUCUUACCUCCUUGGUUAAAUUUAUUCCUAAGUAUUUUAGUAUUUUUGAUGUAGUUUUAAAGGGAAUUGUUUUCUUGCUUUCUCUAAUAGCUCAUUAUUAGUGUAUAGAAAAGCAACAGAUUUUUGUAUAGUAAUUUCAUAUCUUGCAACUUUACUGAUUUCAUGUAUUUGUUCUGUUUUUUUUUUUUUUUUUGGUGGAGACUUUAGGGUUUUCUCUAUUAUUAUCAUGUCAUCUGCAAACAGUGACCAUUUAUAUAUAUCAACUUUGAUGAGAGUUUUUUCAUGAAUGGAUGUUGAAUUUUGUCAAAUGCCUUUUCUGCAUCAGUUGAGAUAAUAUGUGAUUUUCAUCCUUCCUUUUGUUAAUGUGGUAUAUUACAUUAGUUGAUUUGCAGAUAUUGAAACAUCUCUGUAUCCUUGGAAUAAAUCCCACUUGAUCACGGUAUAUGAGGCUUUUAAUAUAGCCAUCUUAACCAUUUUUUAAAUCUUUUUAGGGCCGUCCCCAUGACAUAUGAAAGUUCCCAGGCUAAGGGUUGAAUCAGAGCUGUAGCUGCUGGCCUACACCACAGCCACAGCAAUGCAGGAUCUGAGCUACAUCUGUGACCUAUACCACAGCUCACAGCAAUGCCACAUCCUUAAUCCACUGAGUGAGGCCAGGGAUUGAAACUGCAUCUUCAUGGAUACUAGUCAGAUUCGUUUCCACUGAGCCAUGAUAUGGGAACUCCCAUCUUAAUUAUUUUUAAGUGUACAGUUCAUGAUGUUAAAUGCACUCACAAUAUUGUGCAACCAUCACCAUCAUCCAUGUCCAGAACCAUUUUCAUCUUGCAAAACUGAAACUCUGCACCCAUUAAACAGUAACUCCCAUACCCUUCUCUUCCCAACUCCUGACAACCAUUCUACUUUCUGUCUCUAUGAAUUUGACUGCUCUAGGGACCUCAUAUGAGUGAUGAUAUACAAUAUCUGUCUUCUUGUGCUUGGCUUAUUUCACUGAGCCUAAUGUUCUCCAGGUUCAUCCAUGUAACAAAUGUGAGAAUUUCCUUCCUUUUUAAGGCUGAAUAAUAUUCUAUUUUACAGAGUGAACACACUUUGCACAGCAGUGUUUUUAAUGUGCUUACUCUUUCUUUACCUAUGAGAAGAAACUUUCUUAAAGAUAUUAAUUUUUUUUUCUGCUCGGUCUGUUUACAGUAAUACCUUUGGGUAAAUGAUUUUCUUUAGCAUACAGUACAAAAUAAUGUCAAAGAAGUUGUUGAUGCUUAGGUUCAAUAAUCCAUUCGCAAUGUAGUAACUUUCCCUUAAGGUCUAUUAUUUGCUUGAAGAUAAAAAUAAAUAGAGAUUUCAACCUCUGAGCAAAGAGCUGCUUACUGUAUUUAUUUAGUGUGUUAUAAUUAAAACUGUUGUGAAUUCUGCAGCUGCAUUUUGCAGAGGCUGAGAAAACCUUUUUUCAGUUUGGUUCAAGUAAAUUCACACUUCCUGAAUUCCGUUUUGUGCUUUAGGAUCUAAAAAUGAACCUAGAAUUAAAAACAAAAAUGCAAUAACACUGUUGUGGCGUGCCUGGACUCAUGCAGACAUCAAAGGGUGUGUGUGAUGCCCAGCAUGUAUCCAAAUAAAGUUUGGUGACUCAGUUUGAAUCCAAGUAUGUUAGUGCCCACAUGCGUUUUUUCCCUAAAUUUUGAUUGAGGUCAGCUCCCUGACCUCAGUCUCAAUUCUACUCUCACCUUUUGGACUGAAUUCCCUUUAAAUUAAGUGAAGCAUUUUUUUUUAAAGAAAGAAAGAGAGAAGACUUUGCAGAGAAAGGAGGUCACUAAAGAGUAUUCAUUGUAUUUGCCACCAGAGUUUAGGAGAUGGCAGGAGCCCUUAGAGGUUUGUUGGGGCUCCCUAGUGUAGUACCCUAAUGUCCACCUUUGGGAAUCUUCCAUCAGAUGAGGGGCACCAGGUCCUUCUCCCCUGCCCCAGUGGAGCCUGGAGGCUACAUGUUGGCUCCUAGCACACUGAAUCUUGAGGAUAUGAUGCAAGAACCUGGGCAGCGUCAGAUGUUAUAGGUCAUACUGCCAUAACGGCAGCAGCCUCAGAGAUAGUUGUAUCCCAGAGGGGCUCUUCCUGCCAUUUCCUACUUCCUGACCUUCCAAAGAUUCCUGGUCCUGCUGCUCUGGAGGGCAGCAUGGGCCCCCAUUACAUGUUUGAGCCAGGCAGCCUGGGAUUUGGAAGAAAGUCAGGGAAGGUAACCUUGAUGUGGAAGCAAACUUAGGUCAGAAACAAAAACAGCCAAUUAGGUAAAAUGAAGCAGCAGAGGAGCAUGUCCCAAAUGAAUAAACAAGAUAAAACCCUAAAAGAAGAACUAAGUGAAGUGGACAUAGCAAUCUACCCAAGAAAGAGUUUGAGGUACUGAUUAUAAAGAUGAUCAAAGAACUCAAGAAAAGAAUGGAUGAACCGAGUGAGAAGUUAGAGGGUUUUAAUAAAUGGUUAAAAAAUAUAAAGAAAAACCUAAAAGACAUGAAGAAUACAAUAACUGAAAUGAAAAACUGAAAUUCCACACUAGAAGGAAUGAAUAGUAGACUAAAUGAUACAGAGGAACAGUUCAGUGAUCUGGAAGGAAGAGUAGUGUAAAUCACCGAGGAUGAGUAGAAAAAGGAAUAAAUAACAAGAAGAAAUGAGGACAGUAAAAGACCACUGGGAUGAUAUCAAGUGCACUACCAUUUGCGUUAUAGGCAUCCUAGAAGGAGACAGCACAGAAAAGUCCCAAACAGGAUUAACCCAAAGAGGACCAACUAAGACACAUUGUAAUUAAAAUGGCACAAAGUAAAAAUAAAGAGAGAAUAUUAAAAGCAGCAAGGGUGGAGUUUCUCUUGUGGCUCAGUGGGUUAAGAACCCAGCUAGUAUCCAUGAGGGUUCAAUCCCUGGCCUCGCUCAGUGGGUUAAGGAUCCAGCAUUGCUGCAGGCUGCGACAAAGUGCACAGAUGUGGCAAAGAUCUGGCAUUGCUAUGACUGUGGCAUGGGCCAGCAGCUGUAGCUCCAAUUUGACCAGCUCUGGGGAUUUCCAUAUCCUGUGAGUGUGGCCCUAAAAAUAAAGAAAAGCAGCAAGGGAAAAGCAACAUGUGACAUGCAAGGGAACUCCCAUAAGGCUAUAUGUUGCUUUUCAGCAAAGAGGAGUGGCAUGAUAUACUUAAUGUAUGAAAGAGAAACACAUGCAACCAUGAAUACUCUGCCCAGCAAAGCUUUUAUUCAGAUUUGAUGGAGAGGGAAAAAUUUUACAUACAAGCAAAAGUUAAAACAGUUCAGUACCACAAAACUAGCUUCACAAGAAAUGUUAAAGGGACUUCUCUAAGUGAAAAAGAAAAGGCCACAACUAGAAUGUGAAAAUUAUUAAAGGAAAAAUCUCAUUAGUAAAGGCAAAUACAUGGGAAUGGUAGUAAAUCAACCACAUACAAAGGCAGUAGGAAAGUUAAAAGAAAAAAAGUAUAAAAUCAUCUAUAUCCAGAAUAAGAAAUUAAGAGAUACAAAAAAAAAAUAGUUGUAAAAUAUGAUGUCAAAAACAGUAAUCAUGAUAGGAGGAGAGUAAAAAUGUGGGGUUCUUAAAAUGUGUUUGAAAUUAAGAGAUCAGCAACUGAAAAAUCAUAUAUUUGGCUAUAUAUAUAUAUGUAAAUCUCAUGGUAACAACAAACCAAAAAUCUAUAAUAGAUACACAAAAAGAGAAAGGAAUACAAAUACAAAUACAAUGUUAAAGAUAGUCAUCAAGUCACAAAAGAAGGAACAAAAAAGACCUACAAAAACAAUUUAAAAAAUGGCAUUAAGUACAUACAUACCAAUAACUAAUUAAUCUAUGACAGAGGAGGCAAAAUAUACAAUGGAGAAAAGAGAGUCUCUUCAGCAAGUGGUGCUGGGUUGGGUGGACAGCUAUGUGUAAAAGAAUGAAAUUAGAGCACUCCCUCACACCAUAUACAAAAAAAACUCAAAAUAGUUUAGAGACCCAAACAUAAAACAUGACACCAUAAAACUCCCAGAAGAGACCAUAGGCAAAACAUUCUCUGACAUAAAUUGUAACAAUGUUUUCUUAGAUCAGUCUCCCAAGGCAAGAAUAAACAAAUAAUCAAACUUAAAAGCUUUUGCGGAGCUCCUGUCGUGGAGCAGUGGUUAACGAAUCCGACUAGGAACCAUGAGGUUGUGGGUUCGAUCCCUGCCCUUGCUCAGUGGGUUAACGAUCCGGCGUUGCCGGGAGCUGUGGUGUAGGUUGCAGACGCAGCUGGGAUCCUGCGUUGCUGUGGCUCUGGCGUAGGCCAGUGGCUACAGCUCUGAUUCAACCCCUAGCCUGGGAACCUCCAUAUGGCGCGGGAGUGGCCCAAGAAAUGGCAAAAAGACAAAAAAAAAAAAAAAAAAAAAAAAAA